rnacentral:rRNA from 1 species
UACGAGCGGCCCAAACGUUAUUCGGAAUUACUGGGCUUAAAGGGCGCGUAGGCGGCCUGCUAAGUCGAACGUGAAAUCCCCGGGCUCAACCCGGGAACUGCGUCCGAUACUGGUAGGCUUGAAUUCGGGAGAGGGAUGCGGAAUUCCAGGUGUAGCGGUGAAAUGCGUAGAUAUCUGGAGGAACACCGGUGGCGAAGGCGGCAUCCUGGACCGACAUUGACGCUGAGGCGCGAAAGCCAGGGGAGCAAACGGG